rnacentral:rRNA from 1 species
UACAGAGGGUGCAAGCGUUAAUCGGAAUUACUGGGCGUAAAGCGUGCGUAGACGGUAGCGUAAGUCGGGUGUGAAAGCCCCGGGCUCAACCUGGGAAUUGCAUUCGAGACUGCUCUGCUAGGGUGCGGAAGAGGGAAGCGGAAUUUCCGGUGUAGCGGUGAAAUGCGUAGAUAUCUGGAAGAACACCGGUGGCGCAAGCGGCUUGCUGGGCUGUAACUGACACUGAGGAACGAAAGCUAGGGUAGCGAAUGGG